rnacentral:rRNA from 1 species
AAGACCUUGCGCUUUUGGAGCGGCCGAUGCCUGAUUAGCUAGUUGGUGGGGUAAAAGCUUACCAAGGCAACGAUCAGUAGUUGGUCUGAGAGGACGGCCAGCCACACUGGGACUGAGACACGGCCCAGACUCCUACGGGAGGCAGCAGUGGGGAAUUUUGGACAAUGGGCGCAAGCCUGAUCCAGCAAUGCCGCGUGAGUGAAGAAGGCCUUCGGGUUGUAAAGCUCUUUCAGUCGAGAAGAAAAGAUUGUGACGAAUAAUCACAAUUCAUGACGGUAUCGACAGAAGAAGCACCGGCUAACUACGUGCCAGCAGCCGCGGUAAUACGUAGGGUGCAAGCGUUAAUCGGAAUUACUGGGCGUAAAGGGUGCGCAGGCGGCUUUGUAAGUCAGAUGUGAAAUCCCCGGGCUUAACCUGGGAAUU